rnacentral:rRNA from 1 species
AUUAAUGCUAGCGGCAGGCAUAAUACAUGCAAGUUGAACGGCAGCACAGGUAGCAAUACUGGGUGGCGAGUGGCGCACGGGUGCGUAACACGUAUGCAACCUACCCUAUACAGGCGAAUAACCUUUAGAAAUGAGGGCUAAUACGCCGUAGUAUUACAGAUGGGCAUCUAUUUGUAAUUAAAGAUUUAUCGGUAUAGGAUGGGCAUGCGUCCCAUUAGUUAGUUGGUAAGGUAACGGCUUACCAAGACGAUGAUGGGUAGGGG